AAUAAAGGUUUUCAGCAGACAGUUGGAAGUAAAGCUCAUGACACCAUUGCUUCUCCUACCUCAUCUGAGGCACAGUUCCGUGACUGGCUGUGCUGCCUGGAUGGAGGAGGAGCAAUGGGAAGAGGGGAUGGCCUUUUUCUCCCAGUGUCACCAGCGAUGCUGGGUUGAGUGACCCAGGCACCAGUGGUCUCCAGCCAGAGGGGGCCCCUGGGGACCUUUUUGGCAGUGGGAAGUGUUCUGCAGCUGAUCCAUGAAAUGACAAGUAGACAAACACAGACUCUUCCCAGAUUUAUGCAUCUGAUGCUCUGAAGUUUUUCUAAUUGCUCUGUUUCCUAAAACUGAACCCAUGAUCUUGCUGAACAGACCAGGAAUGAUACAGCAAAGAAAGUGUUUCCAAAGAUCCAGACUGUGGGACUUUACAUAUUCAAAUUCAAGCUCUAUUUCAGUACAUAUCCAAAAAGCUGGAUCUAAAAAUAUGGACACCUCACUGUAAUUGCUUAAUAAUUCACCAUCUUUGCUUCUCUAAGUGAAGACACCCUACUUGUUUAAAAGUGGUUGUUGUAGGAAGACUAUAGAUUUGUUGUCUGCAAGUCCUCAUGUUUUCUUUGCAAAGUGCAUUGGAAAGAGUUUUUGCUUGUUCACGGCUUCUUGCUUUGGAAGCUGGGAACAGAGAGCAUGUUUUCAGAACAUAUCAAUCCAGAUUUGAUGCUACAGGUGUUAUUCAACAGAUCAUUUUCCAAAGAGAUGAUAAGAAAUUAUAAAAAAUACUGCUACUUGAAAAAUGACCUAGUGGAUCUCUGUUUAUGCACUAUAGUGGAAUCACAUAUUUACUGUUGAGACUCUACUUGUAUGUGUUUUCCUUCCAUGUUUUACAAAUAGAAGACCAGAACCCACCCUAAAUACACUACCCUGUUCUUAAGACUUGGAAUGAAGUUUCUGGAGACAUCAUUCGUGUUUUUCUGAGCAGUUUGCUAAUUUAUGCUGUAUACCCUCUGAUGGUUUUUUUCACCAGAUUGACUGCAGGCACAUCUGCCAGAAGUGUAGUCUGAGUGUUAUUUUCUUCUAAGCAUAACUAAUGAAGACCUCACCUGUUACAAAGCAGAUUCAGAUCCAAAGAUAGAUCUUGUAUCUCAUCCAAUUAUCUGAACUUAAAACCAUUAAAAUAUGACCAUUGGUCAUUAAAUAAAACCAAUGCAAAAUUUAAAAAAAAAUAAAAAAUUGCCUGUGUUUACAGGGCUGUGACUGUGUCUGAGGGCUCUAGGGCUUCUACAAAAUGUUUUGCUUUCAUUUGGUUCUUUUCCUCAUGAAUCAAUAUUGGCACAGUGAUUUUAACUUUCAAAGGUGUUAUUGAAGGUUCAUGGUAAGGAGUGUCAGUGGUGCCAACCUUUCUAAAGGUGGGAUACAAUAGAUGAAAAGGAAAGAUAAAUUUGACUGUGUAAUUGUAGCAUUCAGUUAUGUUUGAAGUUUCUCUUAAUAAUUCAUUCAUGUUUGGAAACAGUAAUCCCAAUAUGCUUUCAUAUUUCUUUGUGGGCCUAUCACAACUGAGAUUUGUUUUAAGGAUUAAAUUUGGAGGUAUUUCCUCUUAGAUAUGAGACAAGCUUUGCACACAGAUUUUUGAAAAAGAUGCAGGAGCUGAUCAGAUAAAGGAUGAAACCUAUCACAACUGGAAGAUGCUUUCUGGAAGUGCAUACACUCCUAGAACCCUACCAAAUUGUCCCGUAUCCUUCAGCCUGUUUUAGGAGAUCCCAUAAUAAAGUUAACCUUACAUGUUAUUAAAUUACUCACUAAAAUUAACUGAAAUUUGAUUUUUUUUGUUUGUUUGUUUAUGUUAUGCUGCUGAUGGAGCUGUGAUUUAGACUUUAAGCAUGUGAGUAAAGCAAGACUUAUCAGAAAGAUCUUGUACUAGAGAAACAGGUUAAGCUGCAAUAAAACAGACUUCCCUGUGGUCUUUGAAAUAUGAGUCAUGGAACAAAACUUAAUAGUUUUAUUUUCCAUAAUAAUUAUUUUUAAUUUCUGAAGGAUAUUACAUGUAAUGAACUCAAUAGAAAUUGAAAUUUCUUAGCACAUGGCUAAUUUAACAGUGUCUCAUAAGCAAUAGUUUCUGUGUCAUGCCAGGGUUAAUAGAAUGCUCCUCUUCCUCCUCUUCUCCCCAAGUUCUAAUCAGCUCUUUCUCCUAAGCUAUCUUAAUUAUUUAAGAUAAUCAAGCUAAGCUUAGACUAACUCAACUGUAAGGCUUCUGCCUUUUUUUCUGUGUACUUCAAAGCUGUCCUUUUCCCCCAGCUAUGCAAGCUUUUUUUGUCAGUAAAGCCAAUACUUUUCCAGAAAGCCUUGUCUGUGGUGAAAAUUCAAAAAAGAAAUAAUUUCUGGUUUAUUUCCAUACUUUACUAGAUACUUCUUGACCAAAAAUUGCUUCUCUUUCAAAAUCAGUCUGUAUCCUUUCAAAUUGAAAUUUUGCAUCAAUUUCACUCCAACUCCACUUCCAAUUUGUAAUUUUCCUUUGCGUUAGUAAACUUGAUUUUUCUUUGAGAACAGGGUAUUUUGUGAGAAAACCUCAAAAUGGUAUCUCAGUCUAGAGGUAAAUUAAUCUUUAGCAAGGCCACAGACAUACCUUAACACUAACUUUCUCUAGCACAGCACAGAGUGUAUAAUAAUCUUUGAAAAUUUCAACAUUCAGAUUAGAGUUUCUUCUGUGAGGAAGUGGGGGAAAUUGGAAAAGCAGAUUGUUUUGCUAUGGUUUUGGUUAAACUUUUUGCUGUAAUAACAGAAAACAACACUAAAAAGCAAAAAGAUUUUAAAAUAAUUUAUGAUUAAUCGCUAAUAAAUCUUCUUUCAAUUAUCUUUACUACUCUGAUUAAUGUACACCAUUGUUAUUUUGGCAAUUAAUAGCAGAUAUAUUUCUUUCUUACUGACAAGAUUGUUUUUAGAAUUGUAAACACCUUUAUUCUGUCACAAAAUGCAACAUUUGCCUUUCAAAAGAAAAUGUCACUUGGCCCAUGUGAAUUCUGACUACAGGGCAUAGUGAAAACCUUUAAUUCCUUGUAAUUCACCUUGGAAAUGUGAAAAACGAGGUUCACUCUCGUGGUAAAAUUUAAUAGUUUAAUAAAGGACACUAGGAGACAAAGAUAAUAAAGCAAACUUUAGCAGCCAGGUGCUUGGCAUUCGGCCGAGAGCACACCUGCUAUUUCAGAGACACCAUUUACAUACCUUUUCUCUUGCAUCAGCCAAUUGCAUAUCCAUAUACAAUUAUGCAUAUUUAAACUUUUCCCCAAACUAGUUUACAUGUUCCAAGAACUGUUUAGCAUGGCUCGUCUUCGAGUCCGCCUUUUUAGAGCAUGCGCAUUUCUUGGCUGUGGUUGAAGUCCGUUCUUAUUAUCACCUCUAGCUUGGGUUUUGGUCCAUAUUUCCUACAGAUGGUAAGUGCUGAUAGUUGGCAAAUUAGGAGCAGGGGUCUUCAUCAUAUGUUCAUUGGAUGUUAUCCCAACCAAGCAGGCAGUUCAAUUACCACAAGCAUAACUGUAUCAGCUAUUUCACUUCUAUGUCUAAGUUUAGUAGAAAUAAAAUUACAUCUUUAUAGCAAAGUUAACAUUAUACAUAUAGCAUCCAUUUUAAUAUUUGUGAAAAGCUAAUAAUUGUAAUAUGUGUUUAUAACAAAAAGAAAUUAUAUCACCAAACUAUUCACACAAAAAAAUUAUGGUUUUAGAUGUUAAUUCCGCUGUAGGAUUUAGAAUAUUUUGGAUAGAGGAACAAGAAUCUUGGCUUGGAUCUUGUGUCACUGAAGCCAAUAGUGAUUUCAUUACUGUCUCAGUUUAGAGACAAGUUUAAGAGAAAACCACUCUAGAAUGAGUGUUUCUUCUAAAGAAAAGGGUUUCAGCAAUCCCACCCCGCCAAGAAAUGAAUGAGAGUGGAUGAAAAUGAAAAAACCCAACCAUUUAUUGACAGAUUACAUGCACAGCCCAGGAAAAAUAUAAUAAAUGCUAGGUAUUGAAUUGUUGAAGCCUUACCUCACACAGUGACAACGCUGCCCCCGGAGGGGAAAAAAGCAAAAAAAUGCCAGGGAAAGAAAAAAACAAUGACCAGUCAUGUAGCAGGGAGAAACAAAAUGGUGCCUGCUUUUGUCUCAGGGGAAAAAGCCCAAAAAGUCCCGCAGCACUUUGACAGAAAUAGAGACAGGCACUUGGUGAAUCACUGAUGUUGGUCUCCUCUAUGGAGCAG